ensembl:lincRNA 2500002B13Rik RIKEN cDNA 2500002B13 gene
AAGUCUGACUGUGAGGUCAGGCUUUUACCGUGUUUUCUCGCCUCUAUUCUCUCCUGCGAGCAAGGGCUGGUUUUAGCUCCUCUUGUUUCGCAAAGUUAGUGUUCAGACCGCCAGCUGACUCCUGGGAAGAGGCAUAUAUGGAAGCCAGUCUUCUCAUAGAGGCCUUCAGAUGGAGGUGUAGAACUCUCAGCUCCUCCUGCAUCAUGACUGCCUGGGGCUGCCAUGUUCCUGCCUUCAUGAUAAUGGACUGAACCUCUGAAACUGACUGGUUGAUCUAUUUCUGAGAUCUCUGAGACCCAGCCCACCAGGAACACACAAAUGAGGAAAUGAGAUAGACUGAGGACUUACUAAGCAGAAUUCUGCUGUUCCUAUCCCAGGGUUGGACCCAGUGUGUAGAAAAUUGCUUAUGGGAUUCUUUGAAUGACUUUUUCGUUGCAGGAAAUAUUAAAAAUGAACCUGCCAACCCUCUGCACUCCUGCUUCUUUCAAGCCACCAACUCAAGAGAUCUGUCUCUGCCUCCUCCGUGCUGGAAUUAAAGGUAUGUGACACCAUGCCUUGCUUGUCUUUUUAUGGACACUGAUUUUUAUCUACUUUUGAUAGCUGCUGAGGUAUGUCUAAAUCUGAGAAUCUGCCAAGCUUUUCCAUGGUGAAUAUCCAUUUUAAGUUCUCACAAAUAACAACAGAGCUCUACUUUCUCUGUGUGUUUUCCAACAUUCCUAUUACCUACCUUUAAAAAUCAUAGUCAUCUUGGGAGAAGGGUUAUUUCGUGGGUUUUUUAGUUUUUCUCUUGGGGACCUAGGAUAAUUUUCCUUAAGCAAGGUGUUGCCAAAUGACUUCUGCAGCUUCUGUUUGUCAACACUUUUAUUCUUUGUUUGGUUUUGUUUUUGUUUUUUAAGACUGUACUAGCUGGUUUUGUGUGUCAACUUGACUCAAGCUGGAGUUAUCACAGAGAAAGGAGCUUCCCUUGAGGAAAUGCCUCUAUGAAAUCCCAAUUAAUGAUCAAGGGGGAGAGUCCAGCCCAUUGAGGGUGGUGCCAUCCCUGGGCUGGUAGUCUUGGGUUCUAUAACAAAGCAAGCUGGGCAAGCCAGGGGAAGCAAUCCAGUAAGCAGCACCCUCCUUGGCCUCUGCAUCAGCUCCUGCCUCCAGGUUCCUGCCCUGUGUGACUUCCUGUCCUGACUUCCUUUGGUGAUGAACAGCAAUGUGGAAAUGUAAGCUGGAUAAAUGCAACUUGCUUCUUGGCCAUGGUGUUUGUGCAAGAAUACAAAUCCUGACUAAGACAGACUGGGUCUGUACAUACCUCUGGCUGUCCUGGAACUCACUUUGUAGACCAAGCUAGCUCAGACUCUACUUCCCGAGUGCUGGGGUUUAAGCUGUGUUGUACUAUGCUUGGCUGUGGGCCUGUGUACUGGGGGCUUUCCAUGGAGAUCUCUGGCCCAGCUGGGUGCAAGGCUUCAGGCAAAGGGGAACGAGUUGGAACAGGGAGAGGGAGUUGUCUCCACUGCCUCCACUGCAGCAGCUGGCUACACCUCAGUCAUCUCAGUUGCUCCAAGACACUGCUGCACCAGUCACCCUGCACUGAGUCAGGUCGGACCAAGCCAACGAGAGGCUGACUAGCCAGAGAGGAGUGUGUGUGGGGGGGCUUCUGGUGGUGUUUCAGGAGAACAGACCUCUUCCCAAGUGGCAGCUCUUAUGACAAAAGCUCUCAGACAAUGGAGUAGUUCUCACACACCUUUAUUCUUCCUGGAUGAGAUCCUUAGAUACAGUUUUGGGGUGGGUCAUGGUCUGACAGCAGGUACUUCCCAUUGGGAAGUCUGAGAGUUUGGGGCUACUUUACGUUCAUGUGGGAGGGUUUGGGGUGCUACCCCUAUGUGACUGAUGGCCACAGACCUCUCUAUGGGGGGCUGUGGGGGACUAUGUAGAUAUGUGACAAGAGCCAAGGGCCCAGGAGCAUGGCAAAACAUUCACUGUCCCUUGCAGGUUACCCUCUGAGGAGUCACCUGUGGGGUCACCAGGGUUUUAGCCUGAGCUGUACCAGGGGCUGGGCUGCCUAUCACAGCCCACCACCCCACACUUGGCAAUAUUUUUAUUAUAUAUAUAUAUAUAUAUAAUAGUAUGUAUUAUACAUAUAUAUUAUGCUAAAUAUAUAUUAUAUUAUAUACAUAUUAUUUAUAUUACAUAUCAUGGUAAAUAUAUAUAGUAAUACUAUAUUAAAUACUAUAUAUAUUUACCAUGAUAUGUAAUAUAAAUAAUAUUACUAUUAUUAUAAUAUAUAAUAUUACUAUUCAUAUAUAUAUAUGAAGUUACAGAAAAAAAAUGAACACAGUGACUCAAUUUCUAAAUUAUGUGGCCUCAUUUAUACCAUGCCAUAGACAUAUUUGAUUAACAAGAAAAACAUCUAUUCGCAUUCUCCUUUAUAUUUUCUAGUGGCUCCUUUGCCUAAGGGAGGAAGACUAAAUUUCUUUGUAAGUUGCCAGACCAGCCUCAGCCUCAUUCCUGCCUUAAGAUCCUGUAACAGGGUACUUGUAAUUGUUCUCCCAAAGUUCUUUCUGCCUGAGCCCCUCCCUUCCUCUGCCUAAUAAAUACUUCCUGUUCAACCGCU